CGAGCGAACAGAUAAAGGAGCUUGCUCCUUUGACGUUAGCGGCGGACGGGUGAGUAACACGUGGGUAACCUACCUAUAAGACUGGGAUAACUUCGGGAAACCGAAGCUAAUACCGGAUAACAUUUGGAACCGCAUGGUUCUAAAGUGAAAGAUGGUUUUGCUAUCACUUAUAGAUGGACCCGCGCCGUAUUAGCUAGUUGGUAAGGUAACGGCUUACCAAGGCGACGAUACGUAGCCGACCUGAGAGGGUGAUCGGCCACACUGGAACUGAGACACGGUCCAGACUCCUACGGGAGGCAGCAGUAGGGAAUCUUCCGCAAUGGGCGAAAGCCUGACGGAGCAACGCCGCGUGAGUGAUGAAGGGUUUCGGCUCGUAAAACUCUGUUAUUAGGGAAGAACAAACGUGUAAGUAACUGUGCACGUCUUGACGGUACCUAAUCAGAAAGCCACGGCUAACUACGUGCCAGCAGCCGCGGUAAUACGUAGGUGGCAAGCGUUAUCCGGAAUUAUUGGGCGUAAAGCGCGCGUAGGCGGUUUCUUAAGUCUGAUGUGAAAGCCCACGGCUCAACCGUGGAGGGUCAUUGGAAACUGGGAAACUUGAGUGCAGAAGAGGAAAGUGGAAUUCCAUGUGUAGCGGUGAAAUGCGCAGAGAUAUGGAGGAACACCAGUGGCGAAGGCGACUUUCUGGUCUGUAACUGACGCUGAUGUGCGAAAGCGUGGGGAUCAAACAGGAUUAGAUACCCUGGUAGUCCACGCCGUAAACGAUGAGUGCUAAGUGUUAGGGGGU
rnacentral:rRNA from 1 species